CAGCUUCAUCAGCACAUAUAAUAAAAUUGGAAUGAUACAGAGAAGAUUAGCAUGGCCCCAUCUUUGCAAGGACAUGAAAAUUCAUGAAGCGUGACUAAUGCAU
rnacentral:snRNA from 1 species